GCCCGGUUAGCUCAGCAGGUAGAGCGUUGGACUUUUAAUCCAACGGUC
rnacentral:tRNA from 1 species